rnacentral:sRNA from 1 species
AGAAGACUGCGGCGUUGGUGACUGCCAAUAUUGUUUUACGAUCUAUACUUGUCCUGUGUGAGGCCCUCAAUGUACUUGUGGCUCGGUAUGCUAACCUCGCGUUAGACUCCUAGAGCCGGAGAUAAAGGGCUGAGGGACCAUCUGGUUUAUAGAUAGCUCCCACUGUCGCAUACAGGUCGGAAGCUGAGGUAAGACGGCGCUGCGGUUUUCUU